rnacentral:rRNA from 1 species
UACAGAGGUCUCAAGCGUUGUUCGGAGUUACUGGGCGUAAAGGGUGUGUAGGCGGUUUUCUAAGUCUGGUGUGAAAUCUCCCGGCUCAACUGGGAGGGUGCGCCGAAAACUGGAAGGCUAGAGUACUGGAUGGGAGAGUGGAAUUCCUGGUGUAGCGGUGAAAUGCGUAGAUAUCAGGAGGAACACCUGUGGUGUAGACGGCUCUCUGGACAGUAACUGACGCUGAGGCGCGAAAGCUAGGGGAGCAAACAGG